rnacentral:rRNA from 1 species
UAGAGUUUGAUCAUGGCUCAGGACGAACGCUGGCGGCGUGCUUAACACAUGCAAGUCGAACGGUGAUCUUGAGAGCUUGCUCUUGGGUGAUCAGUGGCGAACGGGUGAGUAACACGUGAGUAACCUGCCCCUGACUCUGGAAUAACUUCGGGAAACCGAAGCUAAUACCGGAUAUGACACAGAGCCGCAUGGUUUCUGCGUGGAAAGUUUUUCGGUUGGGGAUGGACUCGCGGCCUAUCAGCUUGUUGGUGAGGUAAUGGCUCACCAAGGCGACGACGGGUAGCCGGCCUGAGAGGGCGACCGGCCACACUGGGACUGAGACACGGCCCAGACUCCUACGGGAGCCAGCAGUGGGGAAUAUUGCACAAUGGGCGAAAGCCUGAUGCAGCGACGCCGCGUGAGGGAUGAAGGCCUUCGGGUUGUAAACCUCUUUCAGUAGGGAAGAAGCGCAAGUGACGGUACCUACAGAAGAAGCACCGGCUAACUACGUGCCAGCAGCCGCGGUAAU